AGAUUGAACGCUGGCGGCAUGCCUUACACAUGCAAGUCGAACGGCAGCACGGGAGCAAUCCUGGUGGCGAGUGGCGAACGGGUGAGUAAUAUAUCGGAACGUGCCCAGUCGUGGGGGAUAACGCAGCGAAAGCUGUGCUAAUACCGCAUACGAUCUAUGGAUGAAAGGCGGGGAUCG
rnacentral:rRNA from 1 species